GAUGAACGCUGGCGGCGUGCUUAACACAUGCAAGUCGAACGGUGAAGGCGGAGCUUGCUCUGCUGGAUCAGUGGCGAACGGGUGAGUAACACGUGAGCAAUCUGCCCCUGACUCUGGGAUAAGCGCUGGAAACGGCGUCUAAUACUGGAUACGAGCUGCGAAGGCAUCUUCAGCAGCUGGAAAGAAUUUCGGUCAGGGAUGAGCUCGCGGCCUAUCAGCUUGUUGGUGAGGUAAUGGCUCACCAAGGCGUCGACGGGUAGCCGGCCUGAGAGGGUGACCGGCCACACUGGGACUGAGACACGGCCCAGACUCCUACGGGAGGCAGCAGUGGGGAAUAUUGCACAAUGGGCGAAAGCCUGAUGCAGCAACGCCGCGUGAGGGACGACGGCCCUCGGGUUGUAAACCUCUUUUAGCAGGGAAGAAGCGAAAGUGACGGUACCUGCAGAAAAAGCGCGGGCUAACUACGUG
rnacentral:rRNA from 1 species